rnacentral:rRNA from 1 species
UACGAACUGUGCAAGCGUUAUUCGGAAUCACUGGGCUUACAGGGUGCGUAGGCGGCCUGACAAGUAGGGUGUGAAAGCCCCCGGCUCAACCGGGGAAUGGCGCCCUAAACUGUCGGGCUGGAGUGAGAUAGGGGUGUGCGGAACUUCCGGUGGAGCGGUGAAAUGUGUUGAUAUCGGAAGGAACGCCGGUGGCGAAAGCGGCACACUGGAUCUCAACUGACGCUGAGGCACGAAAGCCAGGGGAGCGAACGGG